rnacentral:rRNA from 1 species
UACGAAGGGGGCUAGCGUUGCUCGGAAUCACUGGGCGUAAAGCGCACGUAGGCGGCGUCUUAAGUCAGGGGUGAAAUCCUGGAGCUCAACUCCAGAACUGCCUUUGAUACUGGGAAGCUUGAGUCCGGGAGAGGUGAGUGGAACUCCGAGUGUAGAGGUGAAAUUCGUAGAUAUUCGGAAGAACACCAGUGGCGAAGGCGGCUCACUGGCCCGGUACUGACGCUGAGGUGCGAAAGCGUGGGGAGCAAACAGG